AUCCAGACUCCUACGGGAGGCAGCAGUGGGGAAUAUUGCACAAUGGGGGAAACCCUGAUGCAGCGACGCCGCGUGAGCGAUGAAGUAUUUCGGUAUGUAAAGCUCUAUCAGCGGGGAAGAAAAUGACGGUACCUGACUAAGAAGCCCCGGCUAACUACGUGCCAGCAGCCGCGGUAAUACGUAGGGGGCAAGCGUUAUCCGGAUUUACUGGGUGUAAAGGGAGCGUAGACGGCAAUGCAAGCCAGAUGUGAAAGCCCGGGGCUCAACCCCGGGACUGCAUUUGGAACUGUGUAGCUGGAGUGUCGGAGAGGCAGGCGGAAUUCCUAGUGUAGCGGUGAAAUGCGUAGAUAUUAGGAGGAACACCAGUGGCGAAGGCGGCCUGCUGGACGAUGACUGACGUUGAGGCUCGAAAGCGUGGGGAGCAAACAGGAUUAGAUACCCUGGUAAAA
rnacentral:rRNA from 1 species